rnacentral:rRNA from 1 species
AGGUCCUACGGGGGGCAGCAGUGAGGAAUAUUGGUCAAUGGGCGAGAGCCUGAACCAGCCAAGUCGCGUGAGGGAAGACGGUCCUAUGGAUUGUAAACCUCUUUUGCCGGGGAGCAAAAAGCGGUACGUGUACCGCAUCGAGAGUACCCGGAGAAAAAGCAUCGGCUAACUCCGUGCCAGCGGCCGCGGUAAUACGGAGGAUGCGAGCGUUAUCCGGAUUUAUUGGGUUUAAAGGGUGCGUAGGCGGUAUUUUAAGUUAGUGGUAAAACGUCGGGGCUUCACCUUGAUUGGCCAUUACAACUGGG